ACUCCUACGGGAGGCAGCAGUAGGGAAUUUUCCGCAAUGGACGAAAGUCUGACGGAGCAAUGCCGCGUGAGUGAUGAAGGUUUUCGAAUCGUAAAGCUCUGUUGUAAGGGAAGAAUAGCAAGAAUAGGAAAUGAUUCUUGUCUGACGGUACCUUACCAGAAAGCCACGGCUAACUACGUGCCAGCAGCCGCGGUAAUACGUAGGUGGCAAGCGUUAUCCAGAAUUAUUGGGCGUAAAGCGCAUGUAGGCGGCUUUUUAAGUCUGAUGUGAAAGCCAGUGGCUCAACCACUGAAUUGCAUUGGAUACUGGAAAGCUAGAAUCUUGGAGAGGUAAGUGGAAUUUCAUGUGUAGCGGUGGAAUGCGUAGAGAUCUGAAGGAAUACCAGUGGCGAAGGCGGCCCCCUC
rnacentral:rRNA from 1 species